rnacentral:rRNA from 1 species
UACGGGGGGGGGCAAGCGUUGUUCGGAAUUACUGGGCGUAAAGGGCGCGUAGGCGGUUUGUUAAGUUGGUUGUGAAAACUCUGGGCUUAACCCAGAGCCUGCAUCCAAAACUAGCAGACUAGAGUUCUGGAGGGGAUAGCGGAAUUCCUGGUGUAGCGGUGAAAUGCGUAGAUAUCAGGAGGAACACCGGUGGCGAAGGCGGCUAUCUGGACAGAGUCUGACGCUGAGGCGCGAAAGCUAGGGGAGCAAACAGG